UACGGAGGGUGCGAGCGUUGUCCGGAAUCACUGGGCGUAAAGGGCGCGUAGGUGGCGGAGCAAGUCAACGGUGAAAGCUCGACGCUCAACGUCGAGUCGGCCGUCGAGACUGCUUUGCUCGAGCACUGUAGAGGCAGAUGGAAUUCCACGUGUAGCAGUGAAAUGCGUAGAUAUGUGGAGGAAUACCGAUGGCGAAGGCAGCCUCCUGGGAUAACACUGACGCUCAUGCACGAAAGCGUGGGGAGCAAACAGG
rnacentral:rRNA from 1 species